rnacentral:lncRNA from 1 species
GCCAAGCCUGUUCUCGGGAGAGGAGGAAGUGAAUCCUCCAGCCGCCUGAAAGUGGCGGGAGUCUGAUGUAGGUGAAGAGUGAUCAUGCCCGGCACACGCUGCACAACUGAGAUCACAUCGUGUAUAGGGAUGGAGAAAAAACUGAGACCCAGAGGGCCUACCCAGCUUCCCCUGGAGGCAGAGCUGCAACUGGAACUAAGAUCGUCCAGCCGGGUGCAUUCUGCAGGAAGACCUGUCUGCAUUUCUCUCACAGGCUAGGGAUGUAGGUGUAAGAGCUGACCUGUGUCCAGCAUCAGCUGGGGGCGGGACCAUGAUUCAGUGUAAAGUAAAACUCAAGAACAUUCACUCCCUUGGGUGCAAAAUAAAACAUCGCCUCGAGCUUUACA